GAUGAACGCUGGCGGCGUGCCUAAUACAUGCAAGUCGAGCGAACAGACGAGGAGCUUGCUCCUCUGACGUUAGCGGCGGACGGGUGAGUAACACGUGGAUAACCUACCUAUAAGACUGGGAUAACUUCGGGAAACCGGAGCUAAUACCGGAUAAUAUAUUGAACCGCAUGGUUCAAUAGUGAAAGACGGUUUUGCUGUCACUUAUAGAUGGAUCCGCGCCGCAUUAGCUAGUUGGUAAGGUAACGGCUUACCAAGGCAACGAUGCGUAGCCGACCUGAGAGGGUGAUCGGCCACACUGGAACUGAGACACGGUCCAGACUCCUACGGGAGGCAGCAGUAGGGAAUCUUCCGCAAAGGGCGAAAGCCUGACGGAGCAACGCCGCGUGAGUGAAGAAGGUCUUCGGAUCGUAAAACUCUGUUAUUAGGGAAGAACAAAUGUGUAAGUAACUAUGCACGUCUUGACGGUACCUAAUCAGAAAGCCACGGCUAACUACGUG
rnacentral:rRNA from 1 species